rnacentral:rRNA from 1 species
AUUGUUAUCGUUAUUUGAUAGUACCUUACUACUUGGAUAACCGUGGUAAUUCUAGAGCUAAUACAUGCUAAAAAUCCCGACUUCGGAAGGGAUGUAUUUAUUAGAUUAAAAACCAAUGCCCUUCGGGGCUCACUGGUGAUUCAUGAUAACUCCUCGAAUCGCAUGGCCUUGUGCCGGCGAUGGUUCAUUCAAAUUUCUUCCCUAUCAACUUUCGAUGUUUGGGUAUUGGCCAAACAUGGUUGCAACGGGUAACGGAGGGUUAGGGCUCGACCCCGGAGAAGGAGCCUGAGAAACGGCUACUACAUCCAAGGAAGGCAGCAGGCGCGCAAAUUACCCAAUCCCGACACGGGGAGGUAGUGACAAUAAAUACUGAUACAGGGCUCUUUUGGGUCUUGUAAUUGGAAUGAGUACAAUUUAAAUCCCUUAACGAGGAACAAUUGGAGGGCAAGUCUGGUGCCAGCAGCCGCGGUAAUUCCAGCUCCAAUAGCGUAUAUUAAAGUUGUUGUGGUUAAAAAGCUCGUAGUUGAACCUUGGGCCUGGCUGGCCGGUCCGCCUCACCGCGUGUACUGGUCCGGCCGGGCCUUUCCCUCUGUGGAACCCCAUGCCCUUCACUGGGUGUGGCGGGGAAACAGGACUUUUACUGUGAAAAAAUUAGAGUGCUCCAGGCAGGCCUAUGCUCGAAUACAUUAGCAUGGAAUAAUAGAAUAGGACGUGUGGUUCUAUUUUGUUGGUUUCUAGGACCGCCGUAAUGAUUAAUAGGGGACAGUCGGGGGCAUCAGUAUUCAAUUGUCAGAGGUGAAAUUCUUGGAUUUAUUGAAGACUAACUACUGCGAAAGCAUGCCCCCAGGGAUGACCUAA